rnacentral:rRNA from 1 species
GAACGCGAAGAACCUUACCAGGUCUUGACAUCCCUCUGGCCGCUCUAGAGAUAGAGCUUUCCUUCGGGACAGAGGUGACAGGUGGUGCAUGGUUGUCGUCAGCUCGUGUCGUGAGAUGUUGGGUUAAGUCCCGCAACGAGCGCAACCCCUAUUGUUAGUUGCCAUCAUUCAGUUGGGCACUCUAGCGAGACUGCCGGUAAUAAACCGGAGGAAGGUGGGGAUGACGUCAAAUCAUCAUGCCCCUUAUGACCUGGGCUACACACGUGCUACAAUGGCUGGUACAACGAGUCGCAAGCCGGUGACGGCAAGCUAAUCUCUUAAAGCCAGUCUCAGUUCGGAUUGUAGGCUGCAACUCGCCUACAUGAAGUCGGAAUCGCUAGUAAUCGCGGAUCAGCACGCCGCGGUGAAUACGUUCCCGGGUCUUGUACACACC